rnacentral:rRNA from 1 species
AGAACUUAGCAGAGAUGCUUUGGUGCCUUCGGGAACUCUGAGACAGGUGCUGCAUGGCUGUCGUCAGCUCGUGUUGUGAAAUGUUGGGUUAAGUCCCGCAACGAGCGCAACCCUUAUCCUUUGUUGCCAGCGGUUAGCCGGGAACUCAAAGGAGACUGCCAGUGAUAAACUGGAGGAAGGUGGGGAUGACGUCAAGUCAUCAUGGCCCUUACGAGUAGGGCUACACACGUGCUACAAUGGCGCAUACAAAGAGAAGCGACCUCGCGAGAGCAAGCGGACCUCAUAAAGUGCGUCGUAGUCCGGAUUGGAGUCUGCAACUCGACUCCAUGAAGUCGGAAUCGCUAGUAAUCGUGGAUCAGAAUGCCACGGUGAAUACGUUCCCGGGCCUUGUACACACCGCCCGUCACACCAUGGGAGUGGGUUGCAAAAGAAGUAGGUAGCUUAACCUUCGGGAGGGCGCUUACCACUUUGUGAUUCAUGACUGGGGUGAAGUCGUAACAAGGUAGGCGUAGUGCU